rnacentral:rRNA from 1 species
UUAUUUUAAAUUUAAUGUUUAUUUUAAUUAUUAUAAUUAUUAAUAGAAAUAACUUAUUUAUUAGUAUAUUUUAUAGAACCUGUUUGUACUAUUUAUAGUUAAUUUUACUGUAAGGGUUGAUUAAUAUAAUAUUUUAGAAGUAGCUUUAUAUUUGUGUACCUUUUGUAUCAGGGAUUAUCAAUUUAUCUCUAUUAUGUUAGUUUAUCCCGAAUUUAUAAGGGAUAUUUUUUAUUGUUAUAAUAUUGUUUUAUAAAUAUUAAUAAAUGAAAAAUAGGGGAGAUAUUCUAUUCAAUUAUACAUAUCUGGUUUUCUAAUAAAUGAAUUCAAUUCAGGGUUAAUUUAAGUUAAGUUUAAUUUUAUUAAUAUUAAUUUGGUUAAUCUAAUGUUAUUGGGGAUAAGCUCAUUAUCAUUUUUAUAAUAUUUAUUGUUUUGUAAAAUAUGUAGGAUUAGUAACAUUCAUCAUUUAUUUCGUUAUAGUUAUUUUUAUAUUGUAAUUUAUUUAUUAUUAUUUAAGUUUUUAUUAGAAUUUUAUAUUUAAUUGUUUAUUUUAAGUAAUAAUGGUAGUAUUAGUAAUUUAUUUAAUUAAUGUAUUGGAACUCGGCAAUAUUCACGUUUGCCUGUUUAUCAAAAACAUGUCUUGAAAGUUUAUUUAUUUCAAGUCGGGCCUGCUCAAUGAUUUUAUAUAAUUAAAUAGCCGCAGUAUUUUGACUGUGCGAAGGUAGCAUAAUCAUUUGUCUUUUAAUUGAAGGCUUGUAUGAAGGGUUUGACAAAAUGUGGGCUUUCUUUACAUUAAAUCAUUGAAUUUAAUUUUUGAGUUAAAAAGCUUAAAUGUUUUAAUAGGACGAGAAGACCCUAUAGAAUUUUAUUGUUUGUGGUUUAUAUUAUAAUUGGUUUAUUUGUUUAUUAUAUAUUAUAAAUAAUUUUGUUGGGGUGAUGGGGAAAUUUUCUUAACUUUCUUUAUUUAUUAAAUAUAAAUUAAUAUAUUAAUGAUCCUUUUUUAUGGAUAAUAAGUUUAAAUUACCUUAGGGAUAACAGCGUAAUUCUUUCUGAGAGUUCAUAUCGGUGAAGGAGUUUGCGACCUCGAUGUUGGAUUAAAAUAAGUUUAAUAGUGCAGUAGCUUUAUUACUAGGUCUGUUCGACCUUUAAAUUUUUACAUGAUCUGAGUUCAGACCGGCGUGAGCCAGGUUGGUUUCUAUCCUUUAUUUUAUUUAAUGUUUUAGUACGAAAGGACCAAUCAUUAGUUAUAAUUAAUUAAAUUUAUGAUUAUUAUUAAUGUAC